UGGGGAAUAUUGGACAAUGGGGGGAACCCUGAUCCAGCAAUGCCGCGUGUGUGAAGAAGGCCUGAGGGUUGUAAAGCACUUUCAGAGGGGAGGAGGACUAUUAGGUUAAGAGCUAGAUAGUUGGACGUUACCCUCAGAAGCAGCACCGGCUAACUCCGUGCCAGCAGCCGCGGUAAUACGGGGGGUGCAAGCGUUAAUCGGAAUGACUGGGCGUAAAGGGCGCGUAGGUGGAUACGUAAGUAAAUUGUGAAAGACCCGGGCUUAACCUGGGAAGGUCAAUUUAAACGGCGUGUCUGGAGUGGAGUAGAGGGAAGUAGAAUUUCCGGUGUAGCGGUGAAAUGCGUAGAUAUCGGAAGGAAUACCGGUGGCGAAGGCGUCUUCCUGGACUCUAACUGACACUGAGGCGCGAAAGCAUGGGGAUCAAACAGGAUUAGAUACCCCAGUAGUCCCUGAGCGGGCUGGCAAGGCGCAU
rnacentral:rRNA from 1 species